UACGUAGGGGGCUAGCGUUGUCCGGAUUCAUUGGGCGUAAAGCGCGUGUAGGCGGCUAUGUAAGUCGGAUGUGAAAGCCCCGGGCUCAACUCGGGAAGUGCACUCGAUACUGCGUAGCUAGAGUACCGGAGAGGUUGGUGGAAUUCUCGGUGUAGAGGUGAAAUGCGUAGAUAUCUGGAGGAACACCGGUGGCGAAGGCGGCGUUCUGGACUGCAACUGACACUGAGGAACGAAAGCCAGGGGAGCAAACGGG
rnacentral:rRNA from 1 species